rnacentral:rRNA from 1 species
AUACGUAGGGGACAAGCGUUGUCCGGAUUUACUGGGCGUAAAGGGCACGCAGGCGGUUUUUUAAGUCAGAUGUGAAAUGCAAAGGCUUAACCUUUGAAUUGCAUUUGAAACUGUUUUCUUGAGAGUCGGAGAGGUAAUCGGAAUUCCUAGUGUAGCGGUGAAAUGCGUAGAUAUUAGGAGGAACACCAGUGGCGAAGGCGGAUUACUGGACGACAACUGACGCUGAUACACGAAAGCGUGGGGAGC